GAUCCUGGCUCAGGAUGAACGCUAGCUACAGGCUUAACACAUGCAAGUCGAGGGGCAGCAUGAACUUAGCUUGCUAAGUUUGAUGGCGACCGGCGCACGGGUGAGUAACACGUAUCCAACCUGCCGAUGACUCGGGGAUAGCCUUUCGAAAGAAAGAUUAAUACCCGAUGGCAUAGUUCUUCCGCAUGGCAGAACUAUUAAAGAAUUUCGGUCAUCGAUGGGGAUGCGUCUACUUAGG
rnacentral:rRNA from 1 species